AUACGUAGGGAGCGAGCGUUGUCCGGAAUUACUGGGUGUAAAGGGAGCGUAGGCGGGAGUGCAAGUCAGAUGUGAAAUACAUGGGCUCAACCCAUGGGCUGCAUUUGAAACUGCAUUUCUUGAGUGAAGUAGAGGUAAGCGGAAUUCCUGGUGUAGCGGUGAAAUGCAUAGAUAUCAGGAGGAACACCGGUGGCGAAGGCGGCUUACUGGGCUUUUACUGCAGCUGAGGCUCGAAAGCGUGGGGAGCAAACAGGAUUAGAUACCCUGGUAGUCCACGCUGUAAACGAUGAUUACUAGGUGUGGGGGGACUGACCCCUUCCGUGCCGCAGUUAACACAAUAAGUAAUCCACCUGGGGAGUACGGCCGCAAGGUUGAAACUCAAAUGAAUUGACGGGG
rnacentral:rRNA from 1 species